rnacentral:rRNA from 1 species
GAUGAACGCUGGCGGCGUGCCUAAUACAUGCAAGUCGAGCGAACGGACGAGAAGCUUGCGUCUCUGAUGUUAGCGGCGGACGGGUGAGUAACACGUGGAUAACCUACCUAUAAGACUGGGAUAACUUCGGGAAACCGGAGCUAAUACCGGAUAAUAUUUUGAACCGCAGGGGUCAAAAGUGAAAGACGGUCUUGCUGUCACUUAUAGAUGGAUCCGCGCUGCAUUAGCUAGUUGGUAAGGUAACGGCUUACCAAGGCAACGAUGCAUAGCCGACCUGAGGGGGUGGUCGCCCACCCUGGAACGUGGACGCGGUCCUUGGUCCUACGAGACGGCGCAGUCGGCAAUCUUCCGCAGUAGGCGGGAACAUUGCGCAGUGGCGCGACGUCAGUGGUGAAGAUGUUCCGAUCGUAAUACUCUGUUAUGAGGGAAGAACAGAUGUGUAAGUAACUGAGGACAUCGUGACGGUACCGAGUCAGAAAGCCCCGGCUAACUACGUG